GAUGAACGCUAGCGGCAGGCUUAACACAUGCAAGUCGAGGGGUAUAGCACUUCGGUGCUAGAGACCGGCGCACGGGUGCGUAACGCGUAUGCAAUCUACCUUUCACAGAGGGAUAGCCCAGAGAAAUUUGGAUUAAUACCUCAUAGCAUAACGACCUGGCAUCAGGAUGUUAUUAAAGUCACAACGGUGAAAAAUGAGCA
rnacentral:rRNA from 1 species